AUGUAGCGAGCUGAGUGGGGAGGAGAGAGGGACAGAGAGCCUGCUUGCUUUAAAGAAGCCAACCGGACAGGAGCCGCUUACACUCGUGUAAGCAGCUCCUCUCCUCUCCCGCUUUGCUCCUUUAAAGAAGCAGGCUCUCUGUCCCUCUCUCCUCCCCACUCAGCGGCUCUUCUC
rnacentral:miRNA from 1 species